UUGGAGGGCAAGUCUGGUGCCAGCAGACGCGGUAAUUCCAGCUCCAAUAGCGUAUAUUAAAGUUGUUGCAGUUAAAAAGCUCGUAGUUGAAUUUCGGGAUCAAAUUGUCGGUCGUGCCUCGGUACGCACUGGUAUUAUUGGUUCCUACCUUCUGAAGAACCGCGAUGUCAUUAAUUUGGUGUCGUGGGGAAUCAGGACUGUUACUUUGAAAAAAUUAGAGUGUUUAAAGCAGGCUUACGCUUGAAUACAUUAGCAUGGAAUAAUGAAAUAGGACGUUUGAUUCUAUUUUGUUGGUUUCUAGGAUUGACGUAAUGAUUAAUAGGGAUAGUUGGGGGCAUUAGUAUUCAAUUGUCGGAGGUGAAAUUCUUGGAUUUAUUGAAGACUAACUACUACGAAAGCAUUUGCCAAGGAUGUUUUCAUUAAUCAAGAACGAAAGUUAGGGGAUCGAAGACGAUCAGAUACCGUCGUAGUCUUAACCAUAAACCAUGCCGACUAGGGAUCGGAUGAUGUUAACUUUUUAAUGACUCAUUCGGCGCCUUACGGGAAACCAAAGUGUUUGGGUUC
rnacentral:rRNA from 1 species